rnacentral:lncRNA from 10 species
AUGUCACGAGUGCUGAGGUUGAGAAACACGGUGAGGCUGGAAUGACCUAAGCAGACGACAGCCACUUUCAAAGGAGACUAGAAGACAGAGGCCUGAAAGACCACACAGGAGGGAGACAGGCAACCCUCAGGGGCUCCGGACCAAUUCCCCCAACAAAGGGACGUCUUCGUCAAGACCUGAAGCAUGAGGGGUUGUUUUCCAGGCAGGAAGAGCAAAAAUGCUUUUAGGUCACUCGGCCCAGUGUGCAAAAUAAAAUGAGGAAGGACAACCAGAAACACUCCUCCCUGGGAAUACAAAGCAAAGCAAAAACAAAAUGCCGAGAUUUUACAGAAGAAAAACUUGCUUGAGCAAAGCAGUUUCCGAGGGGCUCUUAAGUCCUUGAUGCGAUACUGUGGUCACCUUAAGAAACCACAACGGCAACACGAACAGUUCCAUGCCCAUUGAAAUCGUCAUCCUUUGAAGCAACAAACUACUGGGAAUGGCACGGUGAAAUACUACAGAAGACACACACCAGGGAUCCCCUUUGAUACUGAUCAUCUCCAUUGCAAAUGACACAUUAUGCAAACCAGAUACACCAAAUGGGCCACGAGGAUGGAGGGGAGGGGAUCAACCCCUCAAAAGAGUCCAAGACCACGUUCUGGUAUCUAAGUCAUCACCUACACACUAACUGUAUGGUCAAGUUCCAACGUGGGAAUAUGUUUUUCUUGAUUACGGUAGGUCCAGUUUCCCUAGAGAUAAAAAUCCAAAUCACAGAAACAAGUGACCAGCCUUUAUCUGCACAUACUAAGUUGCUUUUAUUAAUCCAGAACGGCAUGCUACAGAUACUGUACAGCAUGAACAUUUAUUCAUUACAA